GUAGGUGGCAAGCGUUGUCCGGGAAUUAUUGGGGCGUAAAAGCGCGCGCAGGCUGUUCUUUAAGUCUGAUGUGAAAGCCCACGGGCUCAACCGUGGAGGGUCAUUGGAAACUGGAGAACUUGAGUACAGAAGAGGAAAGCGGAAUUCCACGUGUAGCGGUGAAAUGCGUAGAGAUGUGGAGGAACACCAGUGGCGAAGGCGGCUUUCUGGUCUGUAACUGACGCUGAGGCGCGAAAGCGUGGGGAGCAAACAGGAUUAGAUACCCUGGUAGUCCACGCCGUAAACGAUGAGUGCUAAGUGUUAGGGGUUUCCGCCCCUUAGUGCUGCAGCUAACGCAUUAAGCACUCCGCCUGGGGAGUACGGCCGCAAAGGCUG
rnacentral:rRNA from 1 species